rnacentral:rRNA from 1 species
UUCCGGUUGAUCCUGCCAGAGGUUACUGCUAUCGAGGUUCGACUAAGCCAUGCGAGUCGAAUGUAGCAAUACAUGGCGUACUGCUCAGUAACACGUGGAUAACCUACCCUUGAGACGGGGAUAAACCCGGGAAACUGGGUAUAAUACCCGAUAGAUCUCGACUGCUGGAAUGCAUCGAGCUCUAAAGCUCCGGCGCUCAAGGAUGGGUCUGCGGCCUAUCAGGUAGUAGUGGGUGUAGCGUACCUACUAGCCUACGACGGGUACGGGUUGUGAGAGCAAGAGCCCGGAGAUGGAUUCUGAGACACGAAUCCAGGCCCUACGGGGUGCAGCAGGCGCGAGAACUUUACAAUGCUGGAAACAGCGAUAAGGGGACCUCGAGUGCCAGGUUACAAAUCUGGCUGUCGUGAUGCCUAAAAAGCAUUGCAUAGCAAGGGCCGGGCAAGACCGGUGCCAGCCGCCGCGGUAACACCGGCGGCUCGAGUGGUAACCGUUAUUAUUGGGUCUAAAGGGUCUGUAGCCGGCCGGAUAAGUCUCUUGGGAAAUCUGGCAGCUUAACUGUCAGGCUUUCAGGAGAUACUGUCUGGCUCGAGGCCGGGAGAGGUGAGAGGUACUUCAGGGGUAGGGGUGAAAUCUUGUAAUCCUUGAAGGACCACCAGUGGCGAAGGCGUCUCACCAGAACGGACCUGACGGCAAGGGACGAAAGCUAGGGGCACGAAUCGGAUUAGAUACCCGGGUAGUCCUAGCCGUAAACGAUACUCGCUAGGUGUCGGCCACGGUGCGACCGUUGUCGGUGCCGUAGGGAAGCCGUGAAGCGAGCCACCUGGGAAGUACGGCCGCAAGGCUGAAACUUAAAGGAAUUGGCGGG